rnacentral:rRNA from 1 species
AGAUGGAUAUAUAAUUCACGACAUCCGUGGAAAUAUCAAAUCUUCGGAGCCCUUGGGAUGAGCCUGCGUCUGAUUAGGUAGUUGGCGGAGUAAUAGCCCACCAAGCCUACGAUCAGUAGCUGGUCUGAGAGGAUGAUCAGCCACACUGGAACUGAGACACGGUCCAGACUCCUACGGGAGGCAGCAGUAAGGAAUAUUGCUCAAUGGGGGAAACCCUGAAGCAGCAACGCCGCGUGAAGGAUGAAAUACUUUUGUAUGUAAACUUCUGUAAGAUGGGAAAAAUAUUCUCCUCGGGAGAAUUGAUUGUACCAUCAGAGUAAGCCCCGGCUAACUACGUG